UACAGAGGGUGCGAGCGUUGUUCGGAAUUACUGGGCGUAAAGCGUGCGCAGGCGGUGAUGUAAGACAGAUGAGAAAUCCCCGGGCUCAACCUGGGAACUGCAUUUGUGACUGCAUCGCUGGAGUGCGGCAGAGGGGGAUGGAAUUCCGCGUGUAGCAGUGAAAUGCGUAGAUAUGCGGAGGAACACCGAUGGCGAAGGCAAUCCCCUGGGCCUGCACUGACGCUCAUGCACGAAAGCGUGGGGAGCAAACAGG
rnacentral:rRNA from 1 species